rnacentral:lncRNA from 1 species
UCUAAUAGGUGUUCUCAUGCAUUGACACGUAAUCUUGAGACGAUUUAGCAUGCAACCUGUACAAAUGGGUUGUCCUAUAAGUUAUCUGGUAGUGAUAUAUAAUUCCUUAAUUUGUGCAUAAGAAAAAUAAAAUAUUAUGAGUUGCAUGGCAACAAUAACUCGUACAAUGGUUGUUAAGUUGUCUCGUAGUCCUACAAUUUAGCUCAUGAGGUGGUUGUUUCGCGAAGCAAUGACUUCUUUCUCUCUCCUCGCUCUCUCUCCUCCACAUCAUCAAAAAUCCUACGUGGCACUGCAUGAGACGACCUAUGAGACCGCUAACGUGUAGCAAUGUACUUGCCCUCAGCCACCAAACAAUAUUUUCCUCUUAUAACAAAUCAACCAUUUCAUCUUUUUAGCCGACUUAGGGCAAGUACACUGGUGUCGUCUAAUAGGCGGUCUCAUGCAUUGACAUGUAAUCUUGAGACGAUUCAAUAGGCAACUCGUACAAUGGGUUGUCCUAUAAGUUGUCUGAUAAUGGUAUAUAAUUCCUUAAUUUGUGCAUAAGAAAAACAAAAUAUUAUGAGUUGUAUGGCAACAAUAACUCGUACAAUGGUUGUUAAGUUGUCUCGUAGUCCUACAAUUUAGCUCAUGAGGUGGUUGUUUCGCGAAGCAACGACCUCUUUCUCUCUCCUCGCUCUCUCCUCCACAUCAUCAAAAAUCCUACGUGUCACUGCAUGAGACGACCUAUAAGAUCGCUGACGUGUAGCAAUGUAUUUGCCUUGUAAGCUGAAACCAACUAGUCGCACAAACUUGCGCGGUGCACGGGCGGGAAAUCCCC